rnacentral:rRNA from 1 species
GAGUUUGAUCAUGGCUCAGAUUGAACGCUGGCGGAAUGCUUUACACAUGCAAGUCGAGCGGCAGCGCGGGGCAACCUGGCGGCGAGCGGCGAACGGGUGAGUAAUGCAUCGGAACAUGUCCUGUCGUGGGGGAUAGCCCGGCGAAAGCCGGAUUAAUACCGCAUACGUCCGAGAGGAGAAAGUGGGGGACCGAAAGGCCUCACGCGAUUGGGUUGGCCGAUGUCCGAUUAGCUAGUUGGCGGGGUAAGAGCCCACCAAGGCGAUGAUCGGUAGCUGGUCUGAGAGGAUGAUCAGCCACACUGGGACUGAGACACGGCCCAGACUCCUACGGGAGGCAGCAGUGGGGAAUUUUGGACAAUGGGGGCAACCCUGAUCCAGCCAUUCCGCGUGAGUGAAGAAGGCC